AAUGGAACAAUGUAGGCAAGGAAAGUCGGCAAAAUGGAUCUGUAACCUCGAGAAAAGGAUUGGGUCUGAGGGCUGGGCACGGGGGUCUCAGUCCCGAACCCGGUCGGUGGACUGCUCAAGCUGCUCCAGCUGCGAAAGUGGGUCGCCGCGUGCCGGUUGGGGGACGAACUGGGAGCAUUCCUUCGGGGACUUUCCCCAGGCGUCAAACAGCCGCCUCAGAACUGGUACGGACAAUGGGAAUCCGACUGUUUAAUUAAAACAAAGCAUUGCGAUUGUGCCUACGGAUGCUAAUGCAAUGUGAUUUCUGCCAAGUGCUCUGAAUGUCAAAGUGAAGAAAUUCAACCAAGCGCGGGUAAACGGCAGGAGUAACUAUGACUCUCUUAAGGUAGCCAAAUGCCUCGUCAUCUAAUUAGUGAAGUGCAUGAAUGGAUUAACGAGAUUCCCAUUGUCCCUGUCUACUAUCUAGCAAACCACAGCCAAGGGAACGGGCUUGGCAUAAUCAGCGGGGAAAGAAGACCCUGUUGAGCUUGACUCUAGUCCGACUUUGUGAAAUGACUUGAGAGGUGUAGUAUAAGUGGGAGCUUCGGCAAAAUUGAAGUACCACUACUUUUAACGUUAUUUUACUUAUUCCGUGAAAUGGAGGCGGGGCAUCGCCCUGCUUUUUGGACCCAAGGCCAGCCUCGCAUUGCCCGAUCCGGGCAGAAGACACUGUCAAGUGGGGAGUUUGGCUGGGGCAGCACAUCUGUUAAAAGAUAACUCAGGUGUCCUAAGAUGAGUUCGACGAGAACAGAAAUCUCGUGUGGAACAAAAGGGUAAAAGCUCGUUUGAUUCUGAUUUCCAAUACGAAUACGAACCGUGAAAGCGUGGCCUAUCGAUCCUGUAGACCUUUGAAAUUUGAAGCUAGAGGUGUCAAAAAAGUUACCGCAGGGAUAACUGGCUUGUGGCAGCCAAGCGUUCAUAGAGACUUUGCUUUUUGAUCCUUCGAUGUCAGCUCUUCCUAUCAUUGUGAAGCAGAAUUCACCAAGUGUUGGAUUGUUCACCCACCAAUAGGGAACGUGAGCUGGGUUUAGACCGUCGUGAGACAUGUUAGUUUUACCCUACUGAUGACAG
rnacentral:ncRNA from 2 species